CCUACGGGAGGCAGCAGUAGGGAAUAUUGCUCAAUGGGGGAAACCCUGAAGCAGCAACGUCGCGUGGAGGAUGAAGGUCCUAGGAUUGUAAACUCCUUUUGUUAGAGAAGAUAAUGACGGUAUCUAACGAAUAAGCACCGGCUAACUCCGUGCCAGCAGCCGCGGUAAUACGGAGGGUGCAAGCGUUACUCGGAAUCACUGGGCGUAAAGAGCGCGUAGGCGGGAUAGCAAGUCAGAUGUGAAAUCCUAUGGCUUAACCAUAGAACUGCAUUUGAAACUGUUAUUCUAGAGUAUGGGAGAGGUAGGUGGAAUUCUUGGUGUAGGGGUAAAAUCCGUAGAGAUCAAGAGGAAUACUCAUUGCGAAGGCGACCUGCUGGAACAUAACUGACGCUGAUGCGCGAAAGCGUGGGGAGCAAACAGGAUUAGAUACCCCUGUACUC
rnacentral:rRNA from 1 species